rnacentral:rRNA from 1 species
CAUGCAAGUCGAACGGAGCUGAGAGGAGCUUGCUUUUCUUAGCUUAGUGGCGAACGGGUGAGUAACGCGUGAGUAACCUGCCCUGGAGUGGGGGACAACAGUUGGAAACGACUGCUAAUACCGCAUAAGCCCACGGCCCGGCAUCGGGCUGAGGGAAAAGGAUUUAUUCGCUUCAGGAUGGACUCGCGUCCAAUUAGCUAGUUGGUGAGGUAACGGCCCACCAAGGCGACGAUUGGUAGCCGGACUGAGAGGUUGAACGGCCACAUUGGGACUGAGACACGGCCCAGACUCCUACGGGAGGCAGCAGUGGGGGAUAUUGCACAAUGGGGGAAACCCUGAUGCAGCGACGCCGCGUGGAGGAAGAAGGUUUUCGGAUUGUAAACUCCUGUCGUUAGGGACGAUAAUGACGGUACCUAACAAGAAAGCACCGGCUAACUACGUGCCAGCAGCCGCGGUAAAACGUAGGGUGCAAGCGUUGUCCGGAAUUACUGGGUGUAAAGGGAGCGCAGGCGGACCGGCAAGUUGGAAGUGAAAACUAUGGGCUCAACCCAUAAAUUGCUUUCAAAACUGCUGGCCUUGAGUAGUGCAGAGGUAGGUGGAAUUCCCGGUGUAGCGGUGGAAUGCGUAGAUAUCGGGAGGAACACC